GCCUCCGUGGUGCAAUGGUCAGCACGCUGGACGCGCAUUCCAAAUGUCCGUGGUUCGAGUCCUCGCGAGAACA
rnacentral:tRNA from 1 species